rnacentral:rRNA from 1 species
CAAAAAGACCCUAUGAAGCUUUACUGUAACUUGAAAUUGAAAUUGGACUUUAUUCGCGCAGUAUAGGUGGGAGGCGUUGAAAAUAAUCUUGCGGGAAUAUUGGAGCCAUCAGUGAGAUACCACUCUUAUAAUGUUAGAUUUCUAACUUUGAAUCAUUAUCUGGUCAAAGAACAGUUUCAGGCGGGCAGUUUGACUGGGGCGGUCGCCUCCCAAACGGUAACGGAGGCGUACAAAGGUUUCCUCUGAACGGGUAGAAAUCGUAUCUAGAGUAUAAAGGCAAAAGGAAGCUUGACUGUGAGACCUACAAGUCGAGCAGGGACGAAAGUCGGUCUUAGUGAUCUGACGGUACUGAGUGGAAAGGCCGUCACUCAACGGAUAAAAGUUACUCUAGGGAUAACAGGCUGA